UCUCCCUCCUCCCAUCUUCUCCCUCUGGUCAUGUGCAUUUGUUUUCAAAGAAGCAGGCAAACGCACGGAGCCAUGUCCACUGAGGUAGACAGCUAGUAAGCCUACGCCGUAAGCCCGUAACAGACAGCGAUCAUAAU